rnacentral:rRNA from 1 species
UACGUAGGGUGCAAGCGUUGUCCGGAAUUAUUGGGCGUAAAGAGCUCGUAGGCGGUUCGUCACGUCGGCUGUGAAAUCCCGAGGCUCAACCUCGGGUCUGCAGUCGAUACGGGCGGACUGGAGUACUGCAGGGGAGACUGGAAUUCCUGGUGUAGCGGUGAAAUGCGCAGAUAUCAGGAGGAACACCGGUGGCGAAGGCGGGUCUCUGGGCGAGUAACUGACGCUGAGGAGCGAAAGCGUGGGGAGCGAACCGG